rnacentral:rRNA from 1 species
GCCGCGUGGAGGAUGAAGGUCUUCGGAUUGUAAACUCCUGUCAUUUGGGAACAAGUUGCAGUGAUUAACUGUCGCUGCAUUGAUAGUACCAGAAGAGGAAGGGACGGCUAACUCUGUGCCAGCAGCCGCGGUAAUACAGAGGUCCCAAGCGUUGUUCGGAUUCAUUGGGCGUAAAGGGUGCGUAGGUGGCGGGGCAAGUCUGGUGUGAAAUCUCGGGGCUCAACCCCGAAACUGCACUGGAUACUGCCUUGCUUGAGUACUGGAGAGGAGAUUGGAAUUUACGGUGUAGCAGUGGAAUGCGUAGAUAUCGUAAGGAAGACCAGUGGCGAAGGCGAAUCUCUGGACAGUUACUGACACUGAGG